rnacentral:tRNA from 1 species
AUAGAAAUAAUAAAGUGUUAAAUCUUUUUGUUCUUGAAUAUAAAUAUAUUAAACGUUAAAAGGAAUAAAUACAUUCUAGACAAAUAUAAAAACUUUAAAAUUUAAAUCAUUAUUUUCAUGAUUAGUCAAUUUAAUUAAUAUUGUAUUUUUAAAUUUAAAAGAUGAUUUUAAAUGAAAAAUGAUAUUUUAAAUUCAUAAAUCCAAAACAUAGUAAAUAUACAUAAUAAAUAUAAAUUUUGUUUUUUUUA